UGGUGAGGCAACCCUGCAGGAAGAGGCUGUGAGACACAGAUGUUGUGUAACGUGAGCUGGAACAGGGGCCAUGAUAACAGCAGUACUAACUGCUGUUUGGACAUUUAUAGUAAAUCCUGCACCUUCGAGGACACUCUCUCUGAGAGAAAACACCCCAGCGCUCUCCAUUAUUGCAGGUAUUUUACCGGACUCCAGCUGAGUUUAGUUUUUUUCGCAGCCGCGUCUCUUAACCCCGCCCUAUUGUCAUGAGCGUCCGCGGAGACCCGGAAAAAGUGGCUACGGUGCUGGAGAGGCCGAGGGGGGGCGCCGUCAGGCUCGCUGUGCACAGCUUACUCGGCACAUCGGCCUCCCACGGGUUCCCCGACUCGCUCUGACGGCCCCGCGGGACGCAGCCGCUUUCGGGAAUUAAUCACGGAAAGACGAGGAUCAGCCCGCGUGUGACACUUGGUGGGGACUCAUUUCCUGGAGCCAGACCGGAUCGCCGGGCGACCCACUCUCUCCACCAGCGUGUUGGCCGAUAAGCACCGCAGGCAUCCGCGGAUUGUUUACGGCCAGUGGACAGAGACGUGUACGGACAGGGGAAGCUUCCAGCAGGUUGGUCCACGGUGAUGUCACUCUCAGCAUGUCUCCAGGUUCCCGUGUUCCCCACACCGUGCUCUGGGGUGUCAGCGAAAACAUAUAAAGACCAGCAACAUUCUGAGUGUCAGCUCUGUUCUGCAAGAUCACUCUCGAGGAAUCCACAACUUGCUCUGUUUUGAAUGAUCACGCUCAUGGGAGUUGUACUUGCACAAACAUGUUCUGUGGACAGAACUAAAUAGGAUUGGUUCAGAGAGCUAACCAAUCAGAUUUUGGAUGGGGUGGGUCCAAAUAACUAGAGAAGGCGGGACCAAUCAAUCAGAUGUCUUGGGCCCACCUCCUCUAGUUGCUUGGAUCCACCUUCUCUAUAAUCUCAUUGGUUAUCUCUCUGAAUCAGUCAUUUUUCACUCUGCCCUCAGAACAUUUUUGUGUAAAACUCCCACAAGGAAAGAUCACUGUUCAGGAAUCCACAAACACACUCUAUUCUGAAAGAUCAGAAUAGUUCUGUUCCUAGGAAUCACUCUGCUCUCAUCCAUAAAAACAGGUUUUCAGUGUUUAAUGGCUGAGAACCUUCAGGAGUAGAAUGUCCACAUUGGCUUUGGGGUAGUUAACCUAUGUUUCUCCAAUAUAUGUGUACGCUUAUGGCGGAGCGAUAAAAGGGGGUCGCAACUGGGUCAAAUGCAGCAUCAUAGCAGCUCUUUGUUUGUCCAUGACACUGAGGGGCGUGUUUUUUGUGACGGCUAGAGGCCCUUAGACGGUGAGCCUUCCUCUUGUAUCAUUUCACCUUAAAGUGACAGUGCUACACACACAUUGAACCAAAGAGAAGAGGAACCAGUGUUCAUUUGACAAGGGAAUAAGUACAAUUUCCAGGGUCAGCAAAAUUCUUCAACUCAUCUCCAUUUCUUAGCUAAAGCUAUCCAUACAUUUCUUAUCUACUGGAUCAGUGAUUCCAUCCAUCUCUCUGUCCCUAACGUGUUUCUUUCCCUGUCUCUCUAUAGAUAUGCUUCGUUUGUGCAAACAUCACACGUUACAUCGGUUUGUUUGUUCUGGAUGUCCCUUCAACUCUCAGACACCAACAGCAGCAGGAAAACAACAGCAUCAGAUCAAGAGGAGGGGAAACAAGCCCAGGGAAUCAGAGCCCGAAGUUUCCCAUUCCUUCCAUUGCUGACCCAGUUAGCAGACGGCCCCAUGAUGGGAACCGGGGGGAGCGGUUCCGUGAAAUGGAUGUCAGCCCUGCGGGCCCGAGAGAGCCCAGUGCAAUCUGCACCCCGUCCAUGGAGCAAAUUGUCUCCAAACGGGCCCAUUUUUCGACUCAAUUUAAAACAUGUCAGAAGGAGCGUGGAACAAUCCACAUUCAUCAGAGGCUACCUGGAAAUGAUCGCCAUGCAAUUUGGCUCCUCGGCCACUGGGGCCGGCGGUAAACGCGCCGGUGACAUUUAUUAGGCUUCGUAUUCGCGAGCCGGAGCCAUUUCCACAACAAGAGUAAAUAAACACAGGAAUAAACAAAGAUUCCGCUUGUUCUGCAUCUCGCAUUUGUCACGGUUCUGCCGUUCGACGUGAUUCCAGGCCCUCAGACCCGGUUCCGCUCCCCAGGUCUUGCAAAUGAGGACCCUCGAUUGCCAGACGUGGUGGAACAACCAGACAACUCUGGCUGAUUACAGUACAGUGUCCACCUCCUCGUAUUCCUAAUUGACUGGUGGGUGGGUGGCUGGGGGGGGGGGGCCGUCUUCAUUUUUACUAGCAUCACCACCCCACCCUGACUUUAAGGGUCUAAUGGCAGCUCUGAAGCAACUCAGGGAGGGGCUUGUUACUGACACUGCAGUGUAGACAGAUGCAGUUGGUCACAGGUAGGCUGCACUGCCACAUGCGUCAACACGGGGUUUGCAUGCAAGUACAUGUGGUUAGUGACUCGCCUGUCUCUCCCCCCCCCAUCUCCAUCACACCGGCACUCUAAGAAUCGGUGAGUUAUUUAUUUAUUUAACAGACGCUUUUAUCCAAUGCGACCUACAUAUUUUUUUUAGAAGGCAGGGUCGGCCAGUGCCUGUAGCAAUUGGGGGUUAAGGACCUUUACUCUGCCAACCCUGGGAUUUGAACCAGCGAGUGGCACGCUGCCCCCGUGCCCCCGUGCCCCCCCCGUGCCCGGUACUGAUGCUGACGCACGCCGGCGACGGAGGCUUCCGCCUCUCCUAAUACCGAGCCAGAUGAAGCUGAAGGUUGCCCCCACGCUUGGCUCUCACCCAGCCGCCUGCCCCCUUCCCACUCGAGAGUCCUGUUCAACCCUCGAUUCCAUGCCCAGAAGCACAUGAGUAGGUGCCAGUCCGUCGCUUCCCGGGCUUACUCCCUCUCCGCCUGUUUGUUUUGGUGUUCAUUGGACGGUCGCCGGGCUCAGAUUCCCGGACCGUAACGGGGCUCUCCCGGUUUCCCAAACACGCUGCUCAGGCCAUUCCGUUCCACAAAGGAUCUGAGCCUUCCCUACUCCCAUGUGCCAUCAACGAUCCUUCAAGCUGACUGUCAAAACCACCGGCGAAUUAAACACCGUCAAGGCCGUCAAGCCGCAAACGGACGCCGAUCGAUCAGUGUGUGUCAGGAGCGAGCGCCGCCCGGCCUGAUUUAUGAAUCCGCACGUGGUCCCAGAUCCCUGCUUCAGAAACAAAGGCUGCAGCAAAUGAAGAAUCGGCUGCACCCUCAAGACGGCACUGAGCAUUAACACGCAGCUCCAGGAACCUUCUAGCAGCCACUGUGGAGGACUUAGCAGCAUAUAGAGCUGGAUUCGUUGUUCAUGCUGCUUUCAAAACAUUCUCCUGCAAUCCAGGGAAUACAUCCACAUCAGAGUUACAGCAGUAUGAGUAGUAUUAACCAGCCAAGUUUGACAAAGACAUUAUAUAUUUUUUUCAGAGCAAUAUGCAUAUACUUUCCCUACCAUAUUGUUUUAGUGCUGGCUUGUUUCCUGCAGGGGGUGCUGUUUAUCGCAUGGGGAGAGCCGGCUGUCCGCAGUGCACCAGUUAAUUCGGUUCACUUGGCCCUCGUUCCUGUGGUCGGUGUAAUUUAAUGUGUCCUGUUUCGAUUCGGCCCUACUAACCCAGACCAAAGUCCCGAUGCCAACUUAGCAGCUGGCUUCCAUCUCUUCCCGUUGCCGCCUCACGCCUACGUUUGGAUUUUCUCCCAUCACCAACCAAGAAGAUAUUUUUCCUGUGUGCGUUCUUUGCUUGGCUGAUCCCUAUGCUACUCAGUGGAGGACAUAAUCCUUACCAGCCCCAAACUGCUCUCACGCAUUUAUUUUCUGAAGGAAAACAAGUGUCUAAUUACUCAGAUUUAUUUACUCGCAGGAUGCCACCUGGGAUAUUCAUUUCUGCCCACUGAAAUUCAGGUUCCUGUGGCUGCUGCGCUACCUGAAUCCGUGCAUAAUUGUACCGUAAAAUCAUAUAAAAUUUAGAUGAAAGCAAACAUCCCCUGAGAACUUUCAUAUUGAUUUAUUUUUUGGGACUAACCACAUGCUUUUUUUGUGCUCUUUAGGCUGCUAGAUUACUUAAAAAUGCGAUCUCUGCUCUUAGAAGGGGUCUAAUAAUAACAGGCUAAGAGCAUGGAGACAACACCAUUGGAUUAACCUCGUUUUCCUUUAUUUCCCUGUGAUAUCAGCCUGAGGGAAGUGAUUAUUGCUGCUGAAUGUGAUCUGAUGCAUUCUGCCUGGAGUUUAACUCUUAGCUGAACACGAUAAGCCUUCCCCGCUUAUGUCCCCAAUACUCAAUUGUCACAAA